AUAUUUUGUCUUGUUAGAAGCAAUCCUUGUGAAUUCUAUAUUUUUAUUACUUUGACAUUAUCGGUACACUUGUCGAGAAGUCAUCAAGCUUUUGACGUUGUUGCCGGGGAGUGUUGAUUAUCUUAGUAAGGCGAUGUUUGUGCAACAUUUUAUUUUUAGUCUUUUUUUAUUUUUGCUUUAUUUUCUUUUUUAUCAUGGUGCUACUGAGGUAUUUUUCUGUUUGUGUAUGCGUAGUU
rnacentral:lncRNA from 1 species